CCCCGGCGUGAGGAAGAGGUGCAGGUGCUUGUGCAGCAGGGCCUGGUUGCCCGGGUUCCCGGCACAGAACUUCUGCAGGAACUGGUGCGUGAGCCGCAGGAUCUCCAGCAUCUUGGCAUCACCCUGGGUGCGGAAUGGGACAGGCUGCUGGGCCACCCAGGACACAGGCCAGCCGGCCAAGCCACGCCGGGCAGGAAGAGAGGAGGAGUCGGGGCCAGGUGGGGGGAGGCUGGGUCAGCCUGCGGCAGGGCAAGGGAGCUGGGUGUGGAUGAGGGCGAGGGGUGAGGGUCAGAGAUCAGGGUGAUGCUGGGACUGGCUUCUGGGCCCAGGGGAGUCGGGGCACGGGCCGGCACAGAGCCCCAGGGUGAGGCCUGUCUAGACCAGCACUGGGACCGGGGACAGCACGGGCUGGGUCAGGGCUCGCGCGGAGCUGCCCAGGGGUCAGAGGUCAGAGGUCAGGGGCACCUUGUCAUAGGGGACCUGCAGCAGGUCCAGCAUGACCUUGUGGGCAUCCAUGUUCUUCAGAAGGCGCUGCUGCUUCUUCCGCAUCUGCUCCCCGACCCCACACAUCUUGUUCAGCUGCUUCCAGGAUCUGGGGAGACAGUGAGCCAAGUCCCCGCCUCCCCACCUGACCCCAAUCCCACCCACCCCAGCCGUGGGAGGAGGGGAGGUCAGGCUGCUCAGUCAGCCCAUCACAGCCAGCCAGGGAAGCACUGAAAGCCCAAUUCCGCCCACCCGUGAAGGUAAAUAGAACAAUGUGACUGCGAAAAGGAAUUUCAUUAAGUUCCCUCGGCUUCAAAAUAAUCCCACGUGGCCCUUGGCAGGCUGCUGUGACCACGCUAGAGGCGCAGGAAGACCGCGCAGGGGUGGGGAGGUGGGAGGCCCGGGCUGCCCCAGGUCCUCCGGCCACUCACGCCUCUGACGAUCUGGUAGUUCUCGCUGCCCUUCUCCCCCCGGGCCUCCCUCGGCCCGCACCUCCUUCCUGUCCUUGGCGGCGCCUGCCUCGGCCGCCUCGCCCACCUCGCCCUUGCUGCUGCCCUUCUUCUCCACCCACAGCUCUGACUUCUCCACCAUGGUCCGCAGCCGGUCCAGCUCCAACUUGAUCACCUUGUAGUUCUCCACGUCCUGGGC
rnacentral:lncRNA from 1 species